CGGCGGAAAACGGAAUCGCAGUUAUAAAAAUGUACUUUUUUUCACUCGGACUUCUAUGUUAUUUGAUAGUCAAACGGUUGACCCUUUAAAUACAAAAAUACAUCUACAAGAACAUAUUCUGAAACUUCUUAAAUCCACUAACGUUUUUUUAAAGUUUCAAGCUAUGUAUUGCAUUAGAAAACAUACAUAGGUGUUAAAGAAUGACAGACCAGGAGCCUGUUUAACAAAAUACUAUGGCUUGAUAUGGGCGGAGUCUCUGAUCUGGGUCACAAAGAUGGCCAUACGCGAUAGCAUAAAAGCAAUUGCUUUAAAAAAGGUAAAGAACAAAA
rnacentral:lncRNA from 1 species